GAGGGCGCACGUGAGCCCACCGGUUCGUGUAGUUGCUGUUCUACUAGAGAUGGUAGCGCCAACAAGCUACUGCUAGCUAACAUCAAAGUCAGGUGCUACUGCUAGCUAACAUCAGAGUCAGGUGCUACUGCUAGCUAACAUCAGAGUCAGGUGCACUGUAGCACUGUUUACUUUAGUUUGUUUCUCCGACUGACGGACAAAAAUGGAAGAUUUUACAAGUAAAGGAAGUUUGAAGAUGUCUAAUGAGAAGCACCCCGAUGUAGUCGGCUGCGAAGCCUCCAUCAUGAAGAACGUCUGGGAGAUCAGAGAGAGAGAACAUGAACAGAAGAUACAGCUGGAGGAGAGCCGAAUAGAGAAUAGCGCUUUGCCCACUAUUAAUGAGGACUGGGCAAAUCGUUUGGCUGCAAGACUGGGAAACUACAAAAGAGUGGUGAGGAAAACUAAACCUGCUGAGAAUCAGACGGACAACAACAAUGUCUGGAAGACCAAGCUACCACAGGUUCCGCCUACUCUUCCUCGUGGUGCAGGUUCAGGUCCAAUAGGCAGACCAGGAGGCCAAAGCAGAGGCUUCUCCACUCCAGCCCCCAACUACAAGGACAAAAAGGGGCAGGACAAGAAUUCAAAAAGGCUACAAUUACUAAUUUAUAUCAAGCAGAAUCAACCUUCUGCUAUGGUUUGGGGGAAGUCAUGGAAGUACAGCAAAUCCUUGCCAUUACCAGUGGAAGACGCUAGAUCAAACUGGGGCGAGUGCUGGAUGUUUGCUACCAAGCAGCCUUACUCUGAAGCAGGCAAGCCUUGGCUAAAUGGACCCAACUUGAUGGAUCCUCGCCGCCUUCAUCUCUGGAGGAAACCUGACUACAGGGUGGUGGAAUCACAAGAGCUAGACUUGUGUCUUCCCAUUGAGGAGUGGCAGAUGUCCUGGAGAAAGUCCGACAAAAAUAAUAAGAAGGAUGCAGCAUCUUCUGUAAGUGGAGAAAAUGUUGCCAAAUCUGGAUUCUUCACCUUGCUGGUGAAUACUCAGCACCACAAUGAAGCCUUGUGCUCAUCAGAGUGGAGCGACUCAUGGAGAUCCACCAAGCCAGCAAGUCAGCAGGAUAAUCUUACUGUUACAAAUGAUGGUCUAAUUAAUGAGUCUAUUGCUAAAAAGCAGGAUAAUGAUAGAGAGAUGAGCUCCAAGUGGGAAGAAUGUUGGAGGCUUGUCAACCACCAUGGCUGUAAAUCCAAAUUGCCUCAAAUAAAAAUAUCUCACAACCCAGAGUGGGCCAAUUCAUGGAGAACAGUCAUGGUAAACUUCAACAACCACAAUAAUUCUGAUCCCUCUCUUACUAAUAGCAGCCAGCAGAGAGAGUCACAGCUCCACAAAGUCAUGCUUGUGUCUCCUCAGCAGAAAAACAGAGAUCGAUACUUGCAGCUCUGCAAUGAAUUUAAGGCUCUGUCUGAAUGGAGCAAGUCUUGGCAGGUGACUAAAAACAACUCGAAACCCUGCGAAGAAAUAGAGAAAGUCCUGAAGGACUCAACACCAAGAAUGAAGACUUCUUUGGAGGCUCAGAAGGUAGAAAACAACCCAGAACGGCCUUAUUCAACAUCAGAGAAGGCAGACUCAUGCUAUGAGAAACUGAAAUGUAACGUGAUCUAUUGCCCAAAAAGAGAAUUUGCCCAAUCUAAGCAGAUUCAACUGAAACAACUGGAAAAUGUCUCUUCUGCCUCAGAAUGGAGGGACUCGUGGAAGACACUGAAACACAGAAUGAGAAUGGAGAGAAGAAGAAUGAGGCCUGAGCCUUCAAGGCCUUUCAGGGCAUCGUUGGAAGGAGGAGACAUGACGCCCACUGCCCCAGAGUGGAGUGACUCGUGGAAAUUCUCCUGUCAAACCCUACGUCAGGAGCCUGAAUCUUGGCAGCAGGGUUGGUCCACAACACCCCAAAUCCGAGUAGAUCGUGUGAGGGACCAGAACCACUUUGCGCCUGUAGAACUCCCUAAGAAUGGGCCAACCACAGAGCGCAGUUGGGAAGAAUCAUGGAGGUUCUCAAGGCACCAGCGCCAAUCAGAACCUAGGCAGGGUAGAGCACAAACAAGCCAAGAAAGGUCAAGUGUGGCUUCCCACCAUCCUGUCAGUUCACAGGCACAGAGUAGGUAUGCUGGGUCUGCUUCUGAUUGGCAGGCAGCCUGGAUGGUCUCAGAAACUGAAUUCUACCAUGACAGACCCUCCUUAAUCCAGUGGAGGGAAGCCUGGAGGUGGUCCAUCUUUCACACAGAUCACUGGACAGAGCAAGUGCUUCGAGAGAACGAAAUUGAUGUUUUAAUGGAGAUCCAACCCCAGAGAGAAAAUAUUUCCUUGCAGAGAGCCAAUGCUAAAAUGAGCCGGUCUUUUGACAACCAGAUGUUCAGGGAAAGAUAUCCUGAGAAACAGUGGGAUGCUUCAUGGAGAGCUGGGUCACUGCUGAUCCAUCAACCAAGUCAUUAUGGAUCUUCAGGGAGCAUGAGCAGCACUAUUCAGCAGCAACACACCACUGAAAAUGGGCAUGGAUCUAAGUGGGGAAGGUCGUUUAGGCUCGCCAACCCCAUGCCCAACAUGGAGCAACCCUGGGUAGAGUCCUCUCCUAACCCAUGUCAAUAUACAGUAAUGUGGUCAAGGGGAAAGAACAUACAAAACACCUUCAACACCAUUUUAAGCAACAUCCCUGCAACCUUCAGGCUAUGGGGAAACUCCCAUCAGUUCCUGCAGGGGGCCAGUGCACAGAUCAAAGACAAAACUAUGUCUAAGGAACCCGUUGACCCAAGGGUGAUCAUAACAAACAAGACUAAAACAAGGAAGCAUUUAUACUCUAAAAUUGAGAAGGAGCAACAAUCAGAUAGGAAGUGGGCAGGAUGCCACCUCUUGGGUAAAACUCAACCACGUCCCAAGAGAGGUCCUGCUUCUGUGAAGAGCCUUAAGAUGGAGGACAAAACCACAGAUAAGUUCUUUGAGGAGUGGGCAGAAUCUUGGAGGUCCUCUGUCCGGCCUUGUAGUCUGAAAAAGCAGAUGCCGGUCAAGUCGCUCUCAGGUUGGAUGAAUGAGUCAUGGAAAUUCCUCAUUCCACCAUACCAGCCGAAGAAUGGCCCCAAGGCCAAAUAGAAGGCAUGGCUCAGUCAACUUUGAGCUUAGUCAAAACUGGCCACAUAUAAACCAUGUGAUAAAUAAAUUAAACAGAAUGGUUUACCACUUGUAGACUUUGUCUGUUUUCACUCGUUCAGAAUUGGUUUGUGA
ensembl:lncRNA uncharacterized LOC115017203